AUUGAACGCUGGCGGCAGGCCUAACACAUGCAAGUCGAACGGUAACAGGAAGCAGCUUGCUGCUUCGCUGACGAGUGGCGGACGGGUGAGUAAUGUCUGGGAAACUGCCUGAUGGAGGGGGAUAACUACUGGAAACGGUAGCUAAUACCGCAUAACGUCGCAAGACCAAAGAGGGGGACCUUCGGGCCUCUUGCCAUCGGAUGUGCCCAGAUGGGAUUAGCUAGUAGGUGGGGUAACGGCUCACCUAGGCGACGAUCCCUAGCUGGUCUGAGAGGAUGACCAGCCACACUGGAACUGAGACACGGUCCAGACUCCUACGGGAGGCAGCAGUGGGGAAUAUUGCACAAUGGGCGCAAGCCUGAUGCAGCCAUGCCGCGUGUAUGAAGAAGGCCUUCGGGUUGUAAAGUACUUUCAGCGGGGAGGAAGGCGACAGGGUUAAUAACCCUGUCGAUUGACGUACCCGCAG
rnacentral:rRNA from 1 species